UACAGAGGUCCCAAGCGUUGUUCGGAUUCAUCGGGCGUAAAGGGUGUGUAGGUGGCGCCGUAAGUCGGGUGUGAAAUCUCGGGGCUUAACUCCGAAACUGCAUUCGAUACUGCGGUGCUUGAGGACUGGAGAGGAGACUGGAAUUCAUGGUGUAGCAGUGAAAUGCGUAGAGAUCAUGAGGAAGACCAGUGGCGAAGGCGGGUCUCUGGACAGUUCCUGACACUGAGACACGAAGGCCAGGGGAGCAAACGGG
rnacentral:rRNA from 1 species